rnacentral:tRNA from 1 species
UGUAAGCCAGGUUGGUUUCUAUCUUUAAUAUAAUGAUAUAUUUUAGUACGAAAGGACCAAGUAUAUAAAUAAUAUUUUUAAUUUGAUAAUAUUAAUUAUUUUGGCAGAAUAGUGCGAUAGAUUUAGGAUCUUUUUAUGUAAUUUACAUUACAAGUAA